rnacentral:lncRNA from 1 species
GUCGCUGUAAGAAGAAGAAUAUAUACGAUUACAUACAGGAUGCUUCAUGUGUACAGGAUGGUCAUUGUCAAGUUCAAACUCCGCUUCAGGUUCCCAUACAACUAGGUCUGCAUGAUUUCCAAUUGCAAUGGCACCCUGCAAAAGGUAUUUCAGAUUAACGUGGAGUGAAAAAUAUGGUAUCAUCUAAUACGUACCCUGGCUGUUACUUUAGCGGAAUUAUUGACUUGAUAAAUUAAUUUGUACCUUUGAAACUUGUCCAGCAAGCUUGGCAGGUCUCUCACUCCACCAUGAAGCUAACUGUUCUAAAGUUACUCCAUAUUUCCGCCCAUAAGACCACGUGACAGGAAGAACAAACUGCAGAAAAUCUCAAGAAAAUGCACAUUGCUUCCCAUAUCAAUAAGAGAAAUAUAACAUUACGAAUUUACGAUCAAUUAUAAAUUUUUGUUAGAUAGUAAUAUGGUUUCGUUAGCAGGGUAGCAAAUUUUUAAUCAAAUAUACCCAACCUGCAAAGAUGAUAUGCCACCCCAAGCUUUCAAAAAGUUGCCUUCAUCAAGGAGUUUAAGUUCUGGCACGGUUGGUGAAUGAUCAGAGCUUAGCAUAUCAAUGUGUCCAUCCUGGAGGAAGCAUUAGAAUCAAGUGUCAAGUCAGUCACAAAAUAAAGAGGAACCAAGGACAUGC